AAAUGACAUUCAUUUUUGCCUGGCUGUCUAGGCUUACAUGCAUUGGCAGUACAAAGUAUAAUCAUCUUUGACACUGAGUCUUUAAAAGAUGUUUUUUACCUAAGUCGUACAAAUUCAAAAUUUGAGGAAAUAAAAUUGACUAAAAAUAGAUUAACUGAAAAUAAAAGUUAUUUUAAUGGAAUUUAGAUUGCUACUACAGGCAUUCAAACAAACAAAAUAAAUCAAUAACAAAGUUUGCAGAAGUCUUCACUAGGACUGAGACAUAUGAACAUAUUAAAGGGGUAUCCCAAGAACCAAAACCACUGCUACAUCUUAUUGGUGAAUGACGAAUAUGGCGGCAGACCAUUUUUAGUGAAUCAUUUUCUGUUGGUGUGACAAAAAAUGGGG